rnacentral:rRNA from 1 species
CCUACGGGUGGCAGCAGUGAGGAAUAUUGGUCAAUGGGCGCGAGCCUGAACCAGCAAAGUCGCGUGAGGGAAGACGGUCCUAUGGAUUGUAAACCUCUUUUGUCGGGGAGCAAAAGACGCCACGCGUGGCGUUCCGAGAGUACCCGAAGAAACCGCAUCGGCUAACUCCGUGCCAGCCGCCGCGGUAAUACGGAGGAUGCGUGCGUUAUCCGGUUUUAUUGGGUUUAAGGGGUGCGCAGGCGGAAGAUCAAGUCAGCGGUAACAUUGAGAGGCUCAACCUCUUCGAGCCGUUGAAACUGGUUUGCUUGAGUGAAUGAGAGGUAUGCGGAAUGCGGGGUGUAGCGGUGAAAUGCAUAGAUAUCACGCAGAACUCCGAUGGCGAAGGCAGCAUACCGGCGCUCAACUGACGCUCAUGCACGAAAGUGUGGGUAUCGAACAGGAUUAGAUACCCCUGUAGUC